rnacentral:lncRNA from 1 species
AAAAGAGAGAGAAAGGAAAGACAGGGAGGUUAACCAGAGGAAGCCUCAGGUUUGCUACCCUGUACGUGGGAAAGGGAAAAGGGAUGUAAAAGAACGAAAAAGAGGAAGAGGUUGUGACGACAGCACGCGAAAAAAAAAAGCAACGAAAAAAAUGAAU